GGAAAAUGUCAUGUUGUAGUUGUCUUCUGCUGUUUUUACCCACCUACCCUCACCCUCAUGUCUGUAUUCUCCGUGGUCUUAAUGAGUGGGUUGAUGACUUCAGUAUAGAAUUAAUGUAGCAGCCAGAUCAUCUUUGAUUUGAUCUGCCUUUUUGUUUCCUUUUCAUCUCUGAACAAAGGGGAUGAGUUCUCUUUUAUCUGCCUUUGAGCAAGCCUCUACCAAACUAGAAGUUCCCUGCAAGCAGAACCCAUGUCUGCUUCCACAGAACUUAACUCUGUGACUUCCUAUUAAUGGGGUGAAUUUUUACUUUGUGUUUAUAAGUGCAAUUUUUUUUUACCUAUACAUUUUAUCCUUGAUGUUACAUAUGUGUAUUGACAGGGAGCAGCUUCUGUUUGUUACAGUAAACUAUGUUUUCUUGAAU
rnacentral:lncRNA from 1 species